CGACCGCGACCCCAGGUCAGGCGGGAUCACCCGCUGAGUUUAA
rnacentral:rRNA from 39 species